UUAGAGGAAUGAAAUAUUUGCAUUGCUAUUGGAUCUAAUAUCAUGCAACAGUUUAUUUUAGAUUCAGUUCAGUUGCCUCUUUGAGAGAGUUCAAUAAUGUUGAACAUUUGCCAUAUUGUUUACGUUGUGAACAGAAAAUCAAAUAAUUGUGAACCAUUAUCAAAUAGCCACACUCAGCGACGGCGUAGAUAACUCUUUGGAAUAGAUAAGCUAACUUCCAAUCUCUGCUAAUGUUGGGACUAAUCCCUGACAGCGAUUUACACGCUGACUUGACGUUGUUUCGAUCUUAUCCGCAGGGAUUUGUGCGUUUCUGUGGAGCGUUAAAUGAGCGCGAAAUCAACUUAAAUACUAAUUACAGCGGCUACUGAAGGAAAUUGACUUUUCAAUGCCUCGGGCUGAAAAUAUAUACCCUGUAUGAAGCAAAUAUUGAGUAGUUCAUAUAAGAGGCCAGUUACUAAAAGUCUUAAACAGAGGCAUUUAUUUUUAAUUUUGAAAAUAUCACAAAUUUCAGAAAUGAACUUUUCUGUCUUAUAAAUUUUCUGGUCGACUUUUGAUUGUCAAAUGUAAUUUAAUAGCUUUUUGGGCGUAGCGCUAUUAAAAUGUGUCAAAAAAGCAGCUACAUUUUACUUAAUUAACGCAAGAAAUAUUUUGAUUAAUGUAUUUUGUGAAACACUUGCAGCUGGACAUUUUCCUUUGAGGCAAUGCCGCUGUUCUAUAAAAGUCAAGCUUUAUUUAAAUUAUUGUUGCCUCUGCAUACAUUAUGCGAGUACUGUCAAUGGUAAAUUGAUGAGGCGCGCAGCACACACACGCACACACACACGCAAAAUGUAAAUAAAUUAAAGACUUUCAUGGAAAACUGUU